ACGAACCCGUGUCCCCUGCAUCAGCAGGCGGACUCUCAACCAUUGCACCACCAGGGAAGCCCCUUGUUGUUCUCUUAUUGUCACAUACUAGCCUAGCUAUGGAUUCACACCAGCCUAUAGCUAGUCACUUAUACAUAAGCUCUUGUCAGAGAUGUCCCAAUCUUAUUAUCAGCCUUUGUUCACUAAUCCACAGGGCUGGAGAGGUUACUGCUCGAUGAUGCCUGGCCUUCGUUGCGUGCCAAGCUCCCUGACUCUCACUGCAGCUUUAACAGCAAUGGCCAGAAGAGGGAGCUCCUGGAAAGCCAAAGGACCUGUCUAAUUGGUCUAAGUCAGAGGUCCCUGGAACCCUGGUGCUGGUCUGUGGCCUGUUAGGAACCAGGCUGCACAGCAGGGGGUGAGGGGCAGGCAAGCGAGUGAAGCUUCACCUGUAUUUACAGCCACUCCCCAUCAUUGGCAUUACUGCCUGAGCUCCGCCUCCUGUCAGCAUUAUGUUGGUUGUACCCACAGACGCAGAACCUGUGGAUACAGAACCCGCGGAUGCAGAACCCACAGAGCCUACUGUAUUGCAUUGCUGUCUGGUCGUGCUGAAAAUCAUUUGAACUAGUGCUACUGUAUAAAUUCCAAAUCACUACAUGCCUAAGGUGAGAAUUAGUAGGGCCUGAGGCUUUUUAGAAGUUAGUACCCCUCUUUCUGUUGGGGCAGGAGGGAGAAAUGAAAAGGGAAGAGACCUUCAGAAAAUGUUAUUUUAAAAAGAAU